rnacentral:lncRNA from 13 species
UGAAUGAGGAAGAGUAGUGGUUGGUCUUAUAGUUUUAGGGUGGAAGAGACAGAAGAAAAUCUGAUUAUGAAGUGGGCCUGCAUAGCUUAAACCUCAAGGCUCAAUUGUAGUUGUUUUUGUUGACUAAUAAUCUUCCUGUAUUCACUGUGGGUUUUAUUCAGAAGUCAUGGUGGAGUUUUAUUUGACACUCAUUUUUAUCAGGUACAACAACUGCAGCACUUGAUGGAUAAAUGAGAACACAUGGACACAGGGAGUUAGGUGCUCUCCUCACAUAUGUUACUGGAACAAAAGAAAGGACUCUGAUUCUGGAAAAUAUGCUCUUACUCAUUCUCUGUGAACUGGGCCUGUUCAACAUUGGAAGGUUUCUGAGUGGAAGUCCAGUUUAUUGAUUCCCAGUGCUGGAAUCCAAGCAACCCACUGCACCGGCCAAAACAGCAGCGAUAAGACUGAUGGUGCUCUUCUGUCCGGGAAUCUCCAGUCUUCCUUCUUAAGUCCGUAAUAAGUGUCUCUGCCUUCCUGGAGCUCCAAACAUCGGUCAGAAGGGGAACCAGUCCCGUUUACUCUGCAUGAAGAGCUACCUCAUCGAGGUGCCAGCAAAACCACUGUGCCGGCCACAAGAGUCACGCCAGCCACAAGAGUCGCACUGGCGACCCGUGUGGCUCCUCCACUGGGAAUCUUCUGGUCUGUGAGCGAUAAAAAUUUGUCUGAAAGUGUGGCGUCCUCUCAUUCUCUGCACUUUCACUGGGAGCUACAAUCCUGAGCUGUUAUCGAUCAACCAUCUUGGAUCUGCUCUUUUUUUUUUUUUGAACAGAAGCAAUGUAAAUGUUUUAAUACAAACAAUCCCAUAGCAUUUAUUGACAUCUAUGAUAACAUAAGGGUAAUCAAAUCAAUAUGAAUAAAUGUUCACACUGGACAAAAGACA